rnacentral:lncRNA from 1 species
GCGUCUGUUCGUGUUCAGAUGCCUUCAUAACAUCCUUUCAUCUUUCUGUCGUUGCGCAGUUUUUGAAUUUUAUCUGCUUUUUCCCCUUUCUGGCUUUUCUCUAUUCUCCGUGUCCUCUGUUACCUUUGCUUUCUUGUCGUCAUUAUCUGGACAUGUCCUUUCUUUCCUUUCCCAUGAACAUCUGUCAUUGCUAGCUUAGAGUCUAAUAUAACUCUAUCUUGUGCUAGGGCCUCAGACUUCCGGGUAUAUAUCAACGCCAGCUUUUCUUCUUUCUCGAACCCUCUGUUGGAGUAAGGGGUUCUUCCGUUUCCAGUUUUCUGUCUGCUUCCUUCUUCCGACGAGAUUGUCCUGUUUUAUCUGCGAAGGAUCCAUUUGACGCCUUCUUCAAAUGGCUGGAGGUGAGCUUGAGUUUGUAUUGCUUUGUUACUCCAUAGAUUUGCUUUAAUCUUGCCUUUAUCAUCUUGAUAGAAAAUUGUUCUGACUUGUCUCU